rnacentral:misc_RNA from 1 species
AGAAGUUAGGCAGAAAUCUCCAAGUGAGGAUUUUGAUUCUAAUUCCGAUGAAAUUCAUGACUGAUAGUCAAAAAGAAUGACGCGAAAGUAAUAUUUUAGAUUAGGGCAAUUGUAAAAAAAAAAGUCAAAUAUUUUGUCAUAUUUAUAUUCAUAACUUCAAUAUGUGUAAUUUGUACAUGAAAUAGCUAAAUCUUUAAAAUUGAAAUUGAAUUUGAAAAUUAAUGGU